CAACACUAACCAAUAAAAGAACAUCACUUGGAUUAAACAAAUGGAUGAAACAAUGAUACGGUGCCUCCAAGUCCAAGUAUGGGAAGGGAGAAUAGUAGGAAAUGCUUUUAAAGAGUCAGCUUACAUGGCUGCA